UACACAGGGGCUCUUCCCAUGAUAAGAUGCAAACAAGAGGGUCCUCACACCAAAGCUGAGCCAAUGCCAGGACCAUGACCUUGAACUUCCAAAAGUGAGUUAAAUAAACCUCUUAUAAUGUCAACCGUCCUCGGGUAUUAACUUGUAGUAAUACCAAGUGGAUUAAUGCUGUGACUGAAUGGAAGAAUUGAAAGGACAAGGAUCCUGCAUCAGGCUCAUCCACAUGGGACAGAGAUCCAUCUGUAAACUUCAGAGCAGAUUUGCCACCAGACCAAGUGCUUCUUGCUAGAAGGUCUUCAAGGGCACAGAUGUCUUCUUUACCUUUAUAUACCAGGUAGGACCCCUCCACCCAGGAGGUGGUAGGCUCUCUUGGAACAAAUGUUAAGAUUACUAGGGGUAUAUUUGGAUGUAUCUGUCCUGCUAUGGACAGGUAAAGUCUCUCUUCAGGGAGGAGGGAUGGCAUUCAUGUCAAUCAUCUGGGGAAGAUGUGGGUCCUCCCACAGGAAGCCAGAACUUUGACG
rnacentral:lncRNA from 1 species